AGCUAACCCAUUCUCCUCUCGUCUCCGCGGCAUCUGACAUCUCUCCUCCCCCGUCCCUAUCCCCUUCGCCCUUCGUCGUCGUCGUCGUCGUCGUUCGUCCCAAUCUCCGCAUCCCUCCAUUCCCCCCUCCUCCUCGAUGGCUCGCCUCCUCGCGCAAACCCUAACCCUAACCCUAGCCCGCCCGGCUGCGGCGGCGGCGGCGCCCCUCCUCCCUCUCCGCGGCCUCGCCACCAAGGUCGAGGUCAUCGAGAUCGACCUCGCCGAGGACGACGACUCCUCCGCCUCCACCUCGGGCCCCGCCUCCUCCCCCGCGUCGGUGGAGGUGGUCGGGGUCAGGCGCCUGGAGGAGGCGAUCCACGGCGUCAUGGUGCGCCGCGCGGCGCCCGACUGGCUCCCCUUCGUCCCCGGGGGCUCGUUCUGGGUUCCCCCCAUGCGGCGGCCCCACGGGGUCGCGGACCUCGUCGGCCGGAUCGCGGCGGCGGCGUCCGGGGCCGACGCGGAGGUGGUGGCCGGAGGGCUCGCGUACGAGCCGGAGGUGUACGCGCCCAUGACGGAGGAGGAGGCGCUCUCCUUCUCCACCGCGCGGGGCUGGCCGUCGGCCUCCUACUUCGUCGAAGGGAAAUUCCCACAUACCAAGAAGAAGUCAAGGAAACGUGCAACCCGCACUGAUGAGGAAGAAAGCUGAUUGGCUAAUGCUCCAUUGCCAAGGGGAAGGGUAACUAUGACAAUACCAAUGUUUGAAAGUUUGGCGUGCCUCAUGUUGCCGCAUCAUACAACAAGGAUGGAGCAACUUAGGUUGCUCCUAUUUGCAUGGGCAUGUGGUGGUAACCACCUUGUCAGAAACAAUGUAAACAAUAAACAGCUUCUACAAGAAAAGGUUGUUCAGGGUUACACGUCUCUGCUAUGACCAAUGUACAUAUGGAUGACGGCAAGGACCCAAGUGCUAAUUAAUCACCCCACCCCUUGCACUAUGAAGAUAAUCUGUUGCAACUGCUAUGAUUGGGUUGCAAUCUGUAUAUUUCACUCAGAAGCUGUAGUGUUAUUGUAUCGACCAGCCCUUGUGCCAUAGCCUUGGUUCACGGUAAUAAAACAUGGAGGGAGAAGCUGGAUGCUUGUGUUUGUGUUCUGCAACAGCCAUAGAAAAUGGAACACUAGCUGGAAUCCAACAAGGACUGUGGAUGGCUCUUUGUGCCAAGAAAAAAAAAAGAAUGUUUGCAAAGCGCUGAGAUAAAAACAUCUACUUCCAUCUCCAGUCUUGAAUUUGUUUCCAUAUAAAACUGCAUGUUGUAAUGUCAUAUUUGACUUGUUGAGACCUAAAAGGUCAACUGUAUGUGCAUUUGGUGGACAUGGCCUGCGAAGCAAAUUUGAUUACAUUCUAAAUUUAUAGCUGGGAAUGCCUCAUCUAUAAGAGAGAGCUGCUGUCAAGUGAGCAUAUGAAUGUAACUGGUUGGUUGCUUCCUACGGCACUCACUAUUUGAUUAUGUAUGUGCGAUUUGAUAUUAAUGUUGGGUUUUAA